GACGAACGCUGGCGGCGUGCUUAACACAUGCAAGUCGAACGAAGAGCGAUGGAAGCUUGCUUCUAUCAAUCUUAGUGGCGAACGGGUGAGUAACGCGUAAUCAACCUGCCCUUCAGAGGGGGACAACAGUUGGAAACGACUGCUAAUACCGCAUACGAUCCAAUCUCGGCAUCGAGACUGGAUGAAAGGUGGCCUCUAUUUAUAAGCUAUCACUGAAGGAGGGGAUUGCGUCUGAUUAGCUAGUUGGAGGGGUAACGGCCCACCAAGGCGAUGAUCAGUAGCCGGUCUGAGAGGAUGAACGGCCACAUUGGGACUGAGACACGGCCCAGACUCCUACGGGAGGCAGCAGUGGGGAAUCUUCCGCAAUGGACGAAAGUCUGACGGAGCAACGCCGCGUGAGUGAUGACGGCCUUCGGGUUGUAAAGCUCUGUUAAUCGGGACGAA
rnacentral:rRNA from 1 species